CAUAUGGUCCUAAAUGCCAAGACUGCCUGUCUUUCCCAGUUUACUGGGAGAGAGAGAUUGUUUCAGCUUUGCUCUGAAUUUGCAAAGUACUCUGUUGGUUUUAGAAGUUUACAUUUCAUUUGAAAUAAAACUCUACCACUUGCAUUCAGAAAUCCUCAUUUGUUUGCUGAACAGUUUUUUCUUCUCUAAAGAAAGAGCCCUACAUGUACAUUUCCAUAGGCUAGGAUAACAUCUUGUGACUUUAUUGAUAUCCACUCUGCUAUUAAAUGAAUGACUAUAACUAAGCAAGCAUAAAUAUAGCUUUUACACUUUAAGACACCCUUCCCAACUAAUUUUCUAUUCAGCACAUUUGAUCGAGUUUGUAUCUAGGGGCUGAAACGACAGCUUUGAGGUGCAAAGAAGCUUUAGUAAUCUAAAAGGAAUAAGCAAAAUGGGUAUAUGCUGAUAAUUUAAGAUAAUACUUCGCUGUACUUCAGCAUCACAAAAAUUAAGUCUCCAAGUUAUGACUCCUUAAGCAUGGGUACAUUUACCAGUGCUUUGGCCAGCUGAGAUUUAAAUAUUUCAAAAAGCAAGUAUUUCUAGUUCCUGUCACGUCUUGCAAAACUAUUUAACUGCCCAAAAGACUUCAGCAAGGUCUUUCCCCUUUUUUUUUAAAGAAAAAAAGCAAAAACAUUUUGUGCCUUUGCCAAUGACUGUAUGCUGAAGUGUCUUCAGGCUACCGGCACACGGGCAACCCAGCAAUCGCCAAGGAACAGAUGAAGGCAAAAAGUACCUCGCUUCUAAGCAAGAAGUAGAGGGGAAGGCACAAGACCAGUGGUGUUUGUGUCCAUGCAUGCAUUGCUCUGUCUCACAGCUCAGUCACGGCACUGAGGAGCCCCCUCUCACCGCGGUCAGUCCGGAUGGAAGGUCCCAGCCCCUUGCAAAGGCAAGCCUUUAAACUUUUUAGAGUUUCCCUGAGAUGCCUCUUCUUACAAGAUGAUUUUUUCACUCGUGUCUCUCCCAGUACUGCCGUUUAAAAAAAAAAUGCAGAGCGCAGCGCUUGCAAUCCCAAUAAAACUCGGAGAAAUAAUAGCAGGGACCCCCAAAACUAUGCGGAGCGGCUCCCCACGGUGGGGGUGGGCAGGGCGAGGGGUGAACGCCGCAACCCCUAUCCGGCGCCGCUCGGACCCUCCGGAGCGCAGCACCCGCGGCGCUGCUGCCUCCGCUUAGUCCACGUUUUCGCCCUCACUUCGUCAGCGCAACACAAACGGAUUUGCCAAGGCAAUUUUCCCAAGCGCCUUCCGAGAUCUCCCACGGCUUGCUGCAACUUUUCCACAGGCUGCGGGCGCCGGGAGCAAAACCGCCAGUUGGCAAAGACGGGAACAAGCAUUUCAACUUGAAAACUCCUUAUACCUGCUCCAGCCACGGGAAAAAUUGUUGAGCAGUGCCUCCUAAUGCUUGUGUAAAAGGUAAUCCUGCAGGUCUUUUAACCUGCCACUGCAGUUUGCUCACGGUGUGUUAGUGUUGGGUGUGGAAAAACAACGCACGGGUUUCCUGCAUGGAGUUCUGCUGGCAAGUUCAUCCCUGAACUAGCACCAGAGUUUGAGUCUUCUUCAGAGACCACAGCUGUCAGGUUAACUCGGACUAAAUCCUGAGCGUGCAUCGAAUGGAAACGUGUGUUUUAUGAAACUAGCAUUUCUUGAGACAGCAGUCUUUGGUGAUGAUUAAUAAGCACGUUAACAUGGAAUGAAGAAAUAAUGUCUGCCCAAGUCAAUGGUCAUUUCCUAAAGGAGAUUAGAUAUGCACAGAGUACACAGUAAGGUAUUUCAUUAGAAAGUUUGUCUAGUUUUAACCUAGGUUUCUGCCAGCUGUUCAGGUACACAAAGAUUUUGAACCCCUCUCCAGCUCCACUGUAUAUUUGGCUUUCACUAUAGGGCAGAUCAACAUCAUUUCUUUGUGCAUCUGCAUCCAAUCCGGAAAAACAAGCCAAUAAUUCUGUUUUACAGCAUGACAUGGCUGAUGAAUUCAUUACAGGUUAUUUUGAGUUUCAUGAUCAUUACCAUGCUGAAUUACCUUGGACUUCUUUGUUACCUUCUGAGGCUUCUGAGUUUUGUCAGACCAUUUUAUAUGCAUAUUGUAAGAGUCGCUUCCUCUAAAAGAUUAUGAUUCAAGCAAUAGACAAGCAGUGAAAGGGAGGAAGCGUGUAACAACAAAAUAAUCAAGGACCACACUCACUGAAAGGAUAUUUUGUAUAUCACCUGGUGGUGAUCAGCCAAUGCUGCUUCCACAGUCUAUGCAUUUAGCAAAGAAGGCCAGGAAAUUAAAAGGUUGUGGUUUAUUUCCUCCUUAGAACAGAUGACACAUUUAGUCUCCUGGGGAAAAGGCCUGGAAAGUGUGAAAGAGCAGUCUGUCAGAGGAGUUACAUACAUUAUGGAAAACACUUCUGGUCUUUCUCUGCCUUGAAAUCCAUCGCAGUCCACUGUCAGACAUGACAGGAAAUCUUUAGUGGACACUCUGCACCCACUUACCUUACUGAUCAUCACGCAGAUAGGAUAAGAGUCUUGUGCCUAAUCAAGUUUCUUUAUCACCCUGGCAUCACGCACCUUUUUCCUACAUCGCUGAUCUGAGUUCUUGAACCUGCCUUUGUGUUUAACCAAGCCCAGCUACAAUGGAAUAAUACUCUUGUCAUCUCUUCCUGGCAAUUUGCAAGUCUGUUGCUGCUGACAUUGGUCUCAAUAUGGUUUUGGAAGUCUUUUCUAUGAAAUUCAGAGUUUACUAUUUUAAACGCCUUAAUAACUUAUGUUCAGAAGCCGUAAAAAGCAUGUUUUUAUCAGUCUUGCCCAUUUCCAACAUACUACCAACUUUUGAUUUACCAGGUGAGAACUGUUCAUCCAUGAACCGUUAGCAUUAGAGUGGUAGGUUUCCAAAGCACAACUGCAAACCACAUUCACUCUUUUAUGGCCUCCCUCAUUUGCAUUUCUAAAUGCUCCAGGGUGAACACAGAUUUCUGUCACAGUUCUGUGAAAACCUGUUUCUUCACAGGGAAGCUAUGGAAAAUAGCAUUGGUCAUCCGAGCUUUCCACAGGUUUUUGUUCUGCUCACUCAGCAGGAUUGUCCUUCAGCAGGAGAACUGUUCUGCAUAUAUGCAAAUGGAGACAAUUUAAUUAUAAAUGAGGUCUUUCCAGUCUAGUGUGAGUGGAAGAGUCCCACCAUCUCCCGUACAUGAGAAAUGACUCUUAAGUGCUGGUUAUUCUGUAGUUUUAUGGGAUAGCUGCUGUGCUUUCUGUAGCUCCAGCUGUGAGAAGAAUGACCCCACUCAGCAUGUCACUAGCUUGGCGGCUGGCUGGAGCAGCUGGAAUUCAAGACUAUGCAGAAACAAAUCCAGCCGUAGCCACUGAGGAUGCUGGGUUGAAAACUGCUCUGCACCAGCUUGGAAAACUGAAACAUUUCUCCUAUGAAACCGUCUGAGCUGUGAAGGCAAACACCAGUGUUAUCCACAGAUCUCCAGCUAUAAAGGAACAGGGAUGUUUGCCAUUACUUCUUAAACAGGAAUAUCAGAUGCACUGGCAUGACUAUUCAAAAGUGCUGGAGCUCGUGCUUCCAAGGAGCGUAUUCAUGGACAAUUUUGCGAGAAAAAGAAGACAAUUACUACACUCACCAAGCCAGGCAGUGUUGGAGGUAGAGAGUCUCAAGCUAAUACAUCGUCUUUGACAUCUACUGUGCAACUAGAUGUUUAUUACAGGACAAGACAGCCUUUGCUUAUUAUGUCUAAAAUGCAGUUGUUUGCCUGUCAUGAGAUCAGUUUGUGUAGCCUAAUGCACUAAUUAUAGUUAUACAACCUCAAAAAAAACCCGUGUUAUUUCGCUUGUACAGUUCUGUUUCCAAAGAAAAUAACAUAGUUUAUCAUUUUUGCCAUACUUAAGUAGCUCCUUGCUAUAUUCAUAUUUUGAUUCCAGUAAUUUAGAGGUGAUAAAUAUACGAGAAAUAAAUACCUGUGUUCCCAGAUUUGUUGCUUGCAUCUAUUUGCAUUAGUCUACACCAUCCUAUUCACAGUAAUUACAGCCCUAGGGAGUGUCAUGAUAAAAUGGGUUCAUUUGAAAACAAAAAGCUGUGUAAGUAGGAUUUGAUAUAAAUAUUCACUGUUUAUAGGGAAAGCUGAGGCUAUUCCAGUUCAAUGAAAAACUGUGAUUUUUUUUUAUUGUUUUUGUGUGUGGUGCGUUUAGUCUGAAGAAAGAGGUACAGUAUCAGGUAUGGUGACUUCAGAGCCAUACUGCAUUAUCACUUUUUUCUUUGUUGAUGAAGUCUGAUUGCAUUAGGAGUGUAGGAAGGACUACAACAUAGAUAGGAGUAAAAAGACUUCCCAGUCUGAGCUCCCUGCCAUUAAGAGAAACUGCAUCAUUCAGUCUUUUUGAAGAUUUAUGUAUUUCCAGCACAAAAUGAGUUAAAUUUCUUGCCCCUUGCUCUUCUGUGGGAAUGUAGUUUUAGAACUUGACUCUGCAUAUGGUUGGAAACCUUUAAUAUGAAGCCUAAUAUAUUCAUUGUUAAUUUAUACAUGUUUGUUGUUGGGCCAAAGUUAUCCUUUACCAUAAAUAGCUCUUUCCUUAGCCCUACUGCUUUUUGAUCCUCCUGCCCAACCUACUGGCAAUAUGCACACUAAUAAAACAAAGAUGAAGCGCAAGGGCUCAAGUACUGACAUGCAAUGGUCUCUGGAGUUUAAUUUUUAACACCCGAUUUGGCACAGUUUUGGUCCAGCCAGCUCGUGUUCUACAGAUCUGAGCUCAGCCAGGGGAAGAGUACAUGCCAAGAUCCGUUUCCAGUAGGCAGUUCCCCCUUGUUUUGGGGAAGGAAGAGUGCUGAGCUGCAUGGAUGCAAGCCAUCCUCUGCCACUUACCCUGGAGCCAGAGAAUGGGUCCAGGCCUAAAGCUGUGGUUUGGAUUGUUUCUAUUAAUGCAUGCACUAAAAAUAGGAUUUUCAAGUUGAGGGAAAAAAAAAAAAGAGUUUGGUAAAACAGGUGUUCAGGAAAUCCCCAACUGCAGCACCUGUGCAGUAAAAGUCAACCUUAAUUCUAGACUUAAUUCUGGAAUUUCCUCCCUUUAGAGGUUUGGAAAUGCAAUCAAAGCAUGCUAUUAGCAUGGGGAAAAAAAGGUGGGAUGCAAAAAUGACCUUAUGCUGAAGUAUUCUCUCCUUGACUAGAAGGUCUUCUGCUGCCAGAGAAUGAGAUCUCACUGUGCCAACAGGAGGUUGUGGUACAGCGAGAAAGUGCUUUUGUUAUCCGUAUAUAUUACUGCAGGGAAACAUUCAGUUAAAGCUUUUAAACUACCGAAGAAGGGAGGACAGGGAGACCAUGCAGCGAGACCAUGGAUUUGCUCUAAAUAUCCCUUUAAAGAUAAAGUGAGAGGAAAGGUAGAAAGUUAAUGAUUUUUCCCCAUUUAGAAGGAAACCAUGUGACUGAGUGUAUUCAGUGCAGCUGUAGAGAGAGGCCCUUUUCAGAACUGGAAUCCCAGUUAGAAUGGUGAGAAAUGUUUGAAAUUAGUUUUGAGCGAUAGUUUAAAUCCUCCCAACUAGCUGUUCAGUUUACUGUGUGUUUCUUGUGUAAGAAAAUACAGAAUUAAGCUAUUUUGCUUUAAUUUUCAAUUUCAUUAAGAUGACUAUGAAUCCAAGCACAAGCCUUGAGCUCUGGUAAGACAGAUAAUCAAGAAAUGUAAAGGUGAGAUUUUUCCCACCACCUCCCAGUUUUGGAAAUAAUAAAAAAGGAGAGUUGUGACACAUAUGUAGGCCUGAGUCAUUAAUCAGACUGGUUUCAUUUGUGGUUAACUACUACGUUCUCUUCUACAGGAUACAAAAAAAAGUGCCACUUGUGUGGUAGAAGCAUGAUGUAUUUUCCUGUUCUUUUUUCUUAAGAUUUUAUAAACAGUGGCAAUUUUCAUUUAAUACAUUCAAUCUAUUAAGUUGUUCACUAAUUUUAAAGAGUAGUUAUAAAAAGGAGAUGUAGUUCAGUCUGCUUUCAGACUGAAUGAAUUCAAAGGAUUGUUUUUAGAAAGACAGAUUCAUAUGACAACCCUUUCCCCAAAGUUUCCAGCUCUGGAAGACUGUGCUUAAUGACCUGCAUUUUCUAUUGCAUCAUGCAAUAUUGUCUUAACAGUCAUCAUCCUCAGCUGUUUCAGAAGGAUGAUUUGCCAUACUUUCUCCCUUAGUCUUAGAUUUAGUGAAUGGUUAUUUCAGAAAGCAUUAGGAAAGUAUCUGUGAGAGAGACAGAGAGCGAAAAUGUAAUGCAGAUAUUUUUGUUAUUCAUUUAAUUUUAAUCUAAUCUUGUUCAAAUUUUCAGAAGCUAUUUCUCAAUUAUUGUAUUACAAUCAAUUUCAUAAGCUAACUAUGCUUCUUGUAAAAUAUAUGUACUUUUUAAUUUUAAACAAAUUGCCUUUCAAUGUCAUUUAGUUACCUCCUAUUAUUUAUUUAGUGUAGAAUUUACAAAAGACCACUUAGUGUAUUUUUGGGGCUUCAUUAGUUAUUGCGUAUCUAAAACAUAUCUGCUUACCUUUUCUCUAUCUAAUAACUAAACCUUUUCAGUGCCUUUUUAUAGGAAAAUCAUACCAUGACUUAGAUAAAUUCCAUUCUCUAUCUUUUACCAUAGCUUUCCCUGUUAAACGAGGCUGAAAGAAGACAUAUUUGUUCUGAUGGACGGGAGCUGAACUUACGGAGUGACAUGAACAGCACACUUAAGACCAGUUCUGGAAAUGAUGCGGUUAAUCUGAAGGAAACCAGCUGCUAAAAAUUGCUGUCAACAAAUUCUGCUGCCCCUAAUGGCAGUUUUUCCCCAGGAGCUUUGUCUCUCUGUGCUGGAAUUACUCUUCCUCCUCUUCUCUUAGACUGAGUCCUAGUUGUCCCUCCUUCCCUGUACGUCUGUUUGUCUGCAUAGGAGAAGGAGAAGCAUAUCCUUGCCAACGUCUUGCCUCCUGACCUGGCCCUGAAAUUGGUUGCUGUUCCCUUGGCAGCACAAGAUCCUGGAGCUAUACAGCCGUACGCUGCAGCUAGUGACAAAUAGACAACUUUGAGUUGCCUUCUUCAUCUUCUGUAACACAUUUGCUUUCUCAACACAUUUAUUUUGUCUGUAAAACAAAAUGUUAAAUCCAGUUCUAAAAGUUAGGAAUCACAAAUGUGGGAAAAGUGGUUUCUUUAGUGUUUGAAAUAACAAUUUUUCAGUGAAAAGAAGCUUUGUAAAUGAAAUAAAUCAAGAUCCUAUGUGCUUUUUAAUAUUUAAGAGACACUUGUAGCUGCGGAAAAGGUAGAGAUGGUAGUUGAUCCACCAUAUACCCUGCAGCAAUAAAGAAGUGUUGAGGCACAAAGUCCUCCUAAAGUUCUCACCUUUAAUAAUCAAUGAAGAAUUAUGUUAACCUUGGUUUAAAAAAAGGUUAUUCAUUUUGAAUACCAGUAAAGCAGGCUUGUAUUGGAGGAUGCAAGUUCUGUUUUGUGGAAAAGGGGAAAAAGAUCUUAGUUUACUCGACCUGGUAGGCCAAAGGCUAAUCUGUACUUUUCUGUGGAAGUCAAGGAGGUAAAGCAGGAAAAAUAAGGCAGUAGUAUUCACACAAGGACAUGUAGAUAUAAACUGGCCAAUAGACAGCUUGACCUGGAAACAAGCAAACCACACAGGACUGAUGUUCUGGAUCAGAUUUGUUUUCACAAUUGCCUGUUUUCCUGGGGUAAGCAGAGUAGUGAAAAAAAUUACAAAGUUAAAUGGGUUAGAGCAAAAUGUAUUCAUCCUAUUGUAGAUUCUUUUAGCCAACUGAAGUUCUGUCUUCAAGCAGUUUAGACUCUGUACUGGAUUCUCUGUAAAAUCCCUUUGUAUUCUACAUCUUUUUCCAUUUGCUUUUUAAGAGAAAUCUAAAUGUACAGAGAUAUAACAUUAUAUAUUCUAUUCACUGUAUGUGCAUUCAUGUAUUCGUUUCUAAUUGCUAUUCCUGUGGGUGCCGCAAUAAUAAAUUAGGUCUUUGGCCAGCUAUUCCAACAAUUUCAUUUUACUCAGUGGAAAUAUUCUUGAUUUAUAUACAUAGUCACAUGAUCAGAAUUUGACCUUCUGUUUAGUUUUUUGUUAUGCUGUACGUACAAUAACAAUAUAAUGAACUCGUGUCAUUUCAAUGGCUGCGCUGACAUUAACAAAUGGUCUGGAACACAGCAAAGAUUCCUCAGCAAGAUAAGAUACUAUAAAUUUAGCUACUAGAGCACUGCAAGUGACGAUGCCGAGGUUUGAUUUUUAAACAGAAUAGCUGCGUUAAUCCAAUCUCCAUUGAAUGCACAAAGGAAGAAUUCAUGGUAAUUAGGAAGAGACAAAUGGCACCAUUCACUUCUGGAAUUCUGGGGCCACAUAAGCAUCCAGUAAUCACUUUAGGUCUCUAGGUUUCUUACUUUGCAGAAAAGGAAUUAUAUACAAGGGGAACUUGCAUACUAGAAGGAGGCUCCACUCUGUCUCCAGACAUACAGAACAUCUACAGGAUGGGUGGAAGCAGGUUUAUAAUAAUUAUACAGGGAGCUAGAAACAGCCUCAUUGCCUAACAUGUUCCAUUUUCAUUUUAAAUUUUCUUGCAUCUGAGUUAAAUUUCCUAAUACCUUCUCUAAUGCUGCUAUGUAUCAACAGUUUAGCCUAGAAAAACGUAUUUUCCUUUGUUUCAUGAAACUCUCUUUGAGUUUAUUUAAAUUAGAAACUGCAAAAAAAUGCUGUUUCUUUUCUGACACUUGUAUUCCUCAGGAAGACUUUAGCAAUCUGCUGAAAUAUUAGCUGAACAUGAACAACCUGAGAGUGAAUCUGUUCUGUUUUGUAGAGGUACAUGCAGAAGUGCAAAUGCUCUAAAGCUUUCAGAGCCAUGAUAGUGGAAGCAGAAGGUGAAGGAGAAAGAUGGGUAUAUUGUCUUUGCUUUCCAGAUUCAGCAAAGCAAAGCUUCUAAUGAUGGGAAAGAAAAGGAAACAGAGUGGACUUGGCUUUCUGGAGGGGAGGUGACAGUGGUGCAUCCUACUAUAGAAUAGAAGCUGGCCCUAGCUUGUGGCUUUUCAAAUGAGACUAGCAGCUUCAACUCAGGUCUGUUUAUAUGCUGAAGAACUGACUUCAGGGGUUUUCCCUGGACAUGUCACCUAAUUUACAAAUUAGAAAACUCUCCUCCCCUCCCCCCUCUUUUUUAAAAGAUAGGAUAUUCUUUUCAUAGUGUGACUAUUAGAUCGUAUUUUAUGAAUGUUCCAGAAUUUAAUAAAUGGUACACGUACUGUGCCUGUUGAAACCACACUUAUGUGUCUUUAAUUAAUUAAUUGUACUGAAUGUCUAAUUAUAUGUCCAUCUAUUGUUUCUCCUUUCAUUUAAUGUGUGGGACAGAUACAUAAGGAUAUAAAAUGUCCUGACCAGCCAACACGCAACAAAAAAUUAAUUUGGCAUUUCCUCAGAUUCCUAGUCCUUGCUUUUGCAUUCUCAAAAUAUUUUAAUAAAAACAGGAUAGCAUUGGUUUUAGUAUUUCAUAGGCUGGAAAAUGCAUGCCAGAACAGCUGUAAUCUCUUCAUAUGGCUUAAAAGGAUAACUAAAGCUUAGCAAUUCUGGAGGCUUCUUAUAUAGUGACACUUUAUAUUAGUGUUUCUUGAGGGAGCAGAGAUAAUAAAGGUGCUUCACUCAGAACAUAGUUUCCCUCCCUGUGUAUGUAUUUAUAAUAUUUAAUCCAGACUCUAAGUAUGUAUCACUUACUACAAACAAAAAAGUUAAAGUAUGUUAAUUAUCACACAGAUUUAUUAGUGUUUAUGAACAGAAUGAAAACAGAGGAGAAGAGGAAAAUAAUUGUCUUAGAAUAGGAAUCCCCAGGGAGCAAAGCUAAACCCUAUCAUUUUACGAAUUUUGAAACAAGCAUCAUUUUUACCACAUUGAGUGUCAAAGAACAGAAUAUAACAUAAAUUCACCAAAAAGGAAUUAAUUGCCUUGUAUGUCAAAUGCAAUUUGAAAUGCCUUUUGAACACCGGAAGAGUGCUCUUUUGCAAAAGAUCAUUAAAUCAAUGCAUUUUGAUUCUUGCUUGUGUGUUGGUAUAUUGUCUUUGUUUUUAAAUCUUAUACUUUCAUCCUGGCAUAGAAAUUAUUUGAAUUUUUAAAAUGCAACAUAAUAAACCUGACAUUUUUAAGGAAUUCUAUUGCAGGCUUGUAUUCAGGUGGCCUAAAUUCCAGUACUCAUCCAUAUGCUUAUCUUAGAGUGCUUAUGUACUAGGAGAGAUUCCUUAUAUGUGGGGUACAAACCUGCUUAAUAUUUGGCCAUGCUUGCUAUUAAAUUUAGAAUUAAGAAACUUCUAAGCUAAGAAUGGAGUAUUUGUCCCUAUACUUUUCAACUUUUGUUCAUUGGGAUUAAUCCUUCUGUAACUAUGCUAUUACUAUUCAGCUUCUGUUAAGAGUAAUCAUGUAAACGUGUAUUGGGUUAGAUCCUUGGAUUGUGAUUACAAGUCAGCUCUGGUAUAGAAGUUAAAAACUUACUACAACCUAGCUAUUAUUUGCAUGCACUGAAAUGGGAAAAAAAAAAGGUGAAACAAAACAUGUUUCUUUUAACUUAAGCCUGCGAUACCAGACCUUCUGAGAAGGAUUGUGUUUCCAGAUAUUUGCUCAGAAAAAUAAUCACCCAAACAUACCACUUGUCCAUAUUUAGAAAAUAAAGUGUUCUCACGUGGUUAUGCUCUUUAAACUGCAGUGAUUGCAGUAUGGGAGUAGAGAUGAAAAGGCAUAUUCAGAAAUUCUCCUCCUAGAUCUGCAAAUGCCUUCUUGUGAAGCACUGAGAAAAUGAUCAAUAGCCUGAUUUUAAUAGCAAAAUUUUGUAAUAAGGAGCUACGCAUUUUGUUCAUAUUGUCUUUCAAGAUGCUUUAUUUGUGAGGAAUUUUAAAGUAAAUAUUGCCUACUGAAAUUGCUUUAAAAGAUAUUCAGUUAACGACCAAAAGGAAGCUUAAGUAUUUGAUGCUGUUCCCAUUGAAAAUUUACUUCCUUGACUUCCAUCGAAGCAGGGUUAUGCUCAUAGUAUUGAUUUUGCUUGCUCUAGUGAUCAGGUUUAUUGUUAAUUUGAUUUUCCCUUGAAUCAGGUUUUAAGCAGCUUUCAGAUCUGCACUAGCUGCAGAUCUGGAAGGAGAGCUCUGGAAUGCCACUGUGCUCUUUUUUCAUCAUCAUGGCAAGGAUCAGUAAAAAGAAGCUUCAGGGGUGAAUUAUAAUAUUUUUAAAAAAUUGACAAGCCUUUUCUCUGGUAUCCCAUAAGAAACACUUUGCACGGUUUGUAAUGAAAACUGUAAUUAGGGUCAUAGUCUAAAAUCAGAUUUAGGACACUCCUUUUUUAGUUAUUGGUAACCUCAAGCUGCUGACUCGCUACUUCUGUCCAAGGGACACCAACAGAGCUUCUAAAGUCUAUAGAGAGGAACUACUGCGUCAGAGGCAUGUGUUGUUCCUUUCCAAUGACUGUUUAAGUCAGGAUGCUCAUUAGAGUAAAUGGAAUGUCAUCCUCAAGCCAUGGUGCUCUUUGUGCCUCAGUAGAGAGAUCCUGCAUGCAACAACCUUUUCCUGUUGAAAAUGUAAAGAAACAGUAUGCCUGUUAUCACAAAAACUGGACUUUUAACUGCCUGUUAACAUUGUUUUGAUUUAUGGUACUUAUGAGUUCAUUCCCUCUGGCAGAGACUUGAACAAGAAAAUCUGCCUCUCCUCUUUCAGAUAUAUUUCUUUAAAAACAAUGUAAUCUUCUCCUGGAAUUUUACAAAACAGCAGCCAGAACCUUAACUAGUGCAAACUGGCCUCCUGUAUUGACUAUGACAGAGUUUUGCUAAUUUACAUUUGCUGUUUAUCUGGCCUAUGUUUUUUGACUUUCAGAAAUGCAGAGGGCUUUUUCAGGGACCAAAAAAGCUUUACUUGACCUUUAAAAUUACUUACACUUAAGGGAGAUGAGACAUGCCUCUGUUUGUUCUUAAUCCCUUACUGCUUUAAAAUUUAAACAAGUGCUUUGAAAAUAGCUUAAGACAAUGUUAAACACUUUUAUGGGGCUAACAAUUUUUUUCUUGUUUUCUAAGACCUUUUCCAAUUUCAUUUUAGCCAAGGUUAGACCUCUAAGUGCUAAGCUAACUUUGCACUUGGAAAUAGAGGAAGCCGUGCACUGAGAAAGACAUUUUGGUGUUUGUCUUAUUACUGUCUAAAUAGUCUGAGAGUAAAAAAAAAAUAGGGCAGUUUACCUGGAAAAAGAUUGUAAGUUUAUCUAAUCGUGGUACUCAAUCUGAGAAAAAAUACUGCUGUACAAUCAUGCUGUCUUUCCCUCCUGUAGCUUCCAUUCUAUCAGAUCUUCCAGUUACAAUUAUUUUAUCACACAGCUGGCCUUUAGCACCUGCCUAUUUUCCUUGACAGUGGCAAUGAUACGUGUCUGAAAAUUUUUAUUGCCCAUUAACACGAAUUGACUUGCCUGACAUGAACAUUUGGGGCUUUCACUUCAUUACCCUGUUCAGCAUAUAAAUUGUCCUCCCAGUUUCCAAGUCAGCACUGCUCGGCUAUAAUGAGUUGUACCUCAGAUUAAUUCUGCCUGUGCCUUGUUUCCGCAGCACAGGUAGGUCUUUGCAGGGUGACUUCUGUAGUCCAAGAAGCGUAGACUUAUGUCACACAGCACGUUAAGGAGAACAGGCAACACCCUUCCAGUUGUUUUAGAGUUAAGUGCCUGGAGCUAACAGAAGCAAAAGUGUGAUGGCUUAAUACAGUGGAGCGAUUCUCCAGACUUUGUCCACUUUAGACAGGACUAAGUGACUUUUCUUGCUCCAGUAAUAGGCAGCCAUAGCGCUGCUGCUCGCAGGGAUGAUCCUGCACUUGUCUGAUCACUCGCUCCCACCCUGUUCUCUCUGUGCUGGAGGGGAGGCCAUGCAAAUAGUGGAGAGUUCCAGCAAUGGGAGGAAGAACACAGGGCACGGAAGCCCAGGUAAUUCCGUGCCAUAAGCCCUCUCCCCUUCUGCUCCCAUGCAGAAGAUUGCAUUGCGCCUGCACCAGCACAGUUUUGCCUUCACCCUCCAGAAGGGCGAUAUCAAUGGGGUAUUUCCAUUUCUCAGAUGAGGGUAAAUUUUGAUGCUCUAAAGAUGAAGGUAGAGUAUGGUUUCAUUUGCACAGUUGAAGUUUUGAGCUACUUUUUUUAUUAAUGGACAUUUUACGUUAUGUACAGUCAGAUGAAAAGACCAUUGACGCUCCUAUAUUGAAUGUAGGUUUUGUGUGCCUGUGCUGAUGCCGUGCAGUAGUGUAGUUUGAAACUAACUCUCAGUUGUCCUCACUUGAUGCAUGUUGACUUGGUUUCUAGAACAGCUUUUGUUCAUGGAUACUAGUUCCCAUCUGUGUGAAAUUAAAUCAGAAGCUUUUCUCCAGGAACUUAUAGAUGUUCUCUGACUCUUACUGGGAGUCCAGACCACUGACCAGUCCUUGGAUAAAUUAUGAAUCAUGUGCCUGAUAGAGAUGUUCAGUUCAAGGCAUCGGAUCAGAUCUAGCCUGAAGGACCAGCUCUCAAGCGUACACUGUGUGGAUGUGGGGACAACAGCAGCUUCAGUGUGUCAAUCUGCUUUUGUUUUAUAAAUUACACGUUACUGUAAAUAUGCCCUUAGCUGCCUACAGGGAGAUUCAUGGGCUCUCAAGAUUUUCCAUGGAACUAGCCCAGAGCUAGGAGGAAGAGCUAAAUAGUCUGUGGGAGGCUAUGUCUAUGGGAACACCUAGAGGCUUGUAUUUUAUAGAGUUGUUUGGUGGGAAUGCUGCUUCAUGCCAUCAUUUCCUAGGAAGAAAAAAGCACUCCACAAAACAGAUGCAUUUUUAGACACUCUUCCUUCAUUGCACAAUUGGAGCUCUAACUUUAAUCAAUUCUUGAACUUGCCAGUGGGAAUAAAAAGCUCAGAGACACAGACUUUAUGUACCUUUUGAAUAUUUUUUAUUGGUUGAGCUGAAAGUGAAGAAAUCCAUGUCAUACAAUGAAAAGACAGAGACAGUAAGUUAUAAGAAAAUAGUUUUGUUGACUGGAUAAUUAAGCUCAGCUGCUUGAUUCCUGAAUAGCUCUGGUGCUUCACUCCUAUAUACGAAUAAUGCCAUUUUUCUAUCCUUAUCUAGCAAGUAAUUAUAUUUAAUGUUAUACAAAUGUAUUAAACAUAUGUAGAAUAAAAAAUAGAUGUUUUUCUUACAUUAAUUCUGUUAAGAUGUAACUAUUUUAUGAAAUCCCUACUGCAUAAACCAUAUAAGACCAAAGGAUAAACCCACCCUCCUCAGAAAAAAAAGCAGAUGGGGUAAGAAAAAACUUUCUUUCAACUUUUUAACUUGCUUGUUUUUUUCUUGUUUGUUUUGAUUUUGUGUUGUAAUCAUUGAAUGAAUUCCAGAUGUUUUCACAAUCUUCCCACUUAUUUCUCAUACUAUGCCAUGUAUUUAAGUAGGCAAUGUUUUCUGUGUUUGAAAGUUUUUCUCCUUUUGGAUGUUUUAUAUAAUUUGUAUGAUUAUAUAAAUACACAUCAUAUACAUGUUAAAUAUUAUAUAUUAUAUGAUUUAUAUACACGUACAUAGGUUGUAUAUGUUAUAGAUUGUGCAUUAUGUAUUUUAUGUGUGUCAUAUAUAUAAUGUUUUAUAUAAUUUUCAUUGUUAAAGUCUACACACAGAUGAGAAGAAAAUCACGUAGUGUAAUGUCAUGCAUCACAUGUGGCAUAAAAUUUCAGCCAGUGUCAACUAC